rnacentral:misc_RNA from 1 species
AACGCACAUUGCGCCCCUUGGUAUUCCGAGGGGCAUGCCUGUUCGAGCGUCAUUACACCACUCAAGCUAAGCUUGGUAUUGGGUGCCGUCCUUAGUUGGGCGCGCCUUAAAGACCUCGGCGAGGCCUCACCGGCUUUAGGCGUAGUAGAAUUUAUUCGAACGUCUGUCAAAGGAGAGGACUUCUGCCGACUGAAACCUUUAUUUUUCUAGGUUGACCUCGGAUCAGGUAGGGAUACCCGCUGAACUUAA